AUAUACAUACAUACAAACAUAUAUAUGGAUAUUACCUGGGUUUCAUCCCAUUCUUACUUCUUUAAAAGCACGUGCCGAAUGAUGACAAAAUAGACUACGAAAUAGAACUAUUUUUUAAAGAGGAAGAUAUGAAUAAUGAAACUGGGAUUUUGUUAAUAAAAAAAAGUAUAGUAAACCCAGAUGCGUUGGUAGAGCUAAGAGAUUAUUUAAAUUUGUACGGUUUCAAAAUAUUAGAAGAAAAAGUUAUAAAUAUGAAUAAUUCGAUGUUAACGUAUUUAAUAGAUGAAAAUAAAAAUAAAAACAAAAACCAAAUUAAUAGAACGUUAAAAGGUAAGAAUGAAAAGUUUAUCAUAAUUUUAGUUUACAGAAUGAAUUGCCUUACAUGUUUAGAAUAUUUAAUUGAGUUAAAAAGUGUUAGAGAAUAUAAAAAAAAGAGUCCUAAUUGUAUUUUAAGUAUGUUUAUGUGUUGUGAUUACGAGUUGGAUAGUCGUUACAUGAGUACUACUAAUACUACUAAACAUAAUUAUAAAGACAUUGGAAACGAUAAUUACUAUAAGAGCAACGAAAACAAUAUAAGUAAUAAAAAUAUAAUUUUUGUGAAAAAUAAAGAUAAAAAAGUAGAAUUAAUAAAGCGAUAUUUUAAUUUUGCUAAAUAUAACGAUACAAUUACAGUAGAUAUGAUCCGUGAUUUUUUUUUUUGUAAAAACGUUACAAAUUUUGAAAAAGAAGAAAAGAAUAUAAAAUUAAACGAUGUGUUAAUGGAAUGCUUUACUGAGAUUUGUGGAAUAAAACCAGAUGAAUGUAAUGCAAUAUCUUGGCUAUCAAAUUGGCUUGAAGAAAAAGAAAAAGCAAUUAAAAACAACAUACAGGUAAAGAAAGAAUUGGAAAAAAAAGCAAAUGAAUCGGUUAUAUUAUGGAGAGAGAAUAAAGAAGAAAGUGAAACUGAAAAGAGCUUAAAAGGGGAGGAUAAUAUGGAUGGAAGUGAUAAAGCAGAAAAGGAUAGCAACAAUGAUAAUAAAAAAAAUGAAAAAGGAGAAUUUGGUAAACAUGAAACAUACAACGAUAAAAUAAAUUCCAGUAUGAAUAACAUAAAAAAUGUAAUAAUAAAAAAAAAUGUAACAACAACGGGAGAUGGUUAUUUAAUGUACAAAAAAAAAAAUAUUAUUUUAAUACCAGAUAAUAUAGACAUUGAUCUUAAUAAAGAAGACGAAAAAAAUAUUUUUUUAAAUGUGAUAAAAUUUUUUGAAAAAAUGCAAUAUACUAAUGUAAGUUUUCAUGAGGUUUGCAAAAGAGAAAAAAAAAAAAAUUCUAUGCUUGGUAAAAAAAUAGAAUAUACUAGAAAAAAAUAUAAACAACUGAGUGUCGAUUUAAUAACACGUAUUUUAAAAGAAAAUUUAUUAUCUUAUGAUAAAAAAAAAAAAAAUAAAAUAAAUAAUAAUAAUAACUACAUUAUAACAGGUUUUAAAAAUUUAGUUAGCUAUUUGUAUAUAACAAAUGAGAAUGUAAUACCUAGUUCAUUUUGUUUAUUAUUUUUUCGAGAGAAAAAAAAAAAAAAAAUAGUACAACUCGAAGAUAAGUACAGUUCGUUUUUAUCAUUGAUGCAAGAAAGUGAUACAUGUAUUCAGAGUCCUACGAUUGGUAGUACUGGUGACACAACUUGUAAUGUAACCAAUAGCAAAAAUAUUGUUACGACAAGUGUUAGUGGAAACAUAAAAAUCAUAAACGAGUUUUUAAAUAAGGGUAAAGUUUUGAUAUAUCGAAAUAAAAAAAAAAACUAUUUUGAAAACUUUAUUACAAAAUUUUAUAAUGAAGUAAUAAUUUUUUUUUUUGGAAUAAAAACAUCUUGUUUAAACGUUUUUUUUGACUUUUAUGUAUAUAAUUAUAAUUAUUAUUUAAUAGACUUUAUACAAUUAUGUAACGAAGAAAUAGAUAAAAUUAAAGAAAGUGCUGUUUAUAGGAAUCCUGAUGAUGGUUUAUGCAUCACAUCGUUGGAUCAUUCUUCUAUUAUUACUACUAAUACUACUACUAAUACUACUAGUACUACUACUACUACUACUACUACCAAUACUACUAAUACUACUAAUACUAUGUUUUCAAAACCAACUCAAUUUAUUUUUGUUCUUAUAGAGAAAAUAAAAAAUCUAAUAAACAAAUGUUACAAUAGAUUUAUAAUAUAUAAUUUUCCAUGUAGCAUGGAACAAGUUGAGCUAUUAGAAAAAGAGACUAGUAAUUUAAAAGUGCAAGGAUUUUAUUUUCAUAAUUAUUAUGAUUACAGUACAGAAUUCCAAAAAGAUGUAACAAAAAGAGAAAUACCAUUGGGUGGUGUUACUCGCAGUGGUGUGAGUCAGAGCAAUACCAGUAGGAAUAGUAUCAUAAUAGAAUCAGAAGUUGAUCAAAAUAUUAUAAAGCAUCAAAUGUGUUUUUUUUCUUCUGCUAGUAUAAACAAAAUGAUAAAUAAUAAGAAAUUUUACAUAUUUAAUAUCAAAGAAAAAAGAGGUAUAAAAACAUUAACUACAUUGAAUGCUUUUAUGUUUGACAUUUUAAAAAUAAAAAAAAAAAAAGUUAUUUUUAUUUUAAAUUUGACUAAGACUAAUGAUAGUUUUAUUAGUUUUUAUUUACAGUAUGAGUAUCCCGACAUGAUAUUUUGCAACUUGGACAGUUUUGAAAAAAGUAGUGAUGUCGGUGUCUUUUGCAUGGAAAGGUGUUUAAUGUAUGAGCAGAUCAAUGACGUUUUUUAUGAGUAUGGUAAUGGUAGUAGUGGUAGUAGUAGUGGUAGUAGUAGUGGUAGUAGUAGUAGUGGUAGUAGUAGUAGUGGUAGUAGUAAUUAUAACAUCAACAAUAAUGGAAACAAUAAUGGUAACAAUAGCCAUGAGAGUGACAGUGACAGUGACAGAAAAAGAAAAAGAAAAAGAACAAAAACCAAAGUGAACAAUAUAAGAGAAAGCAGAACAGACAAUAAAAAAGAGAAAAUAAAUGUUUUAUUAAAAAAAAUGCUUAUCUUUUGUUCCCAAAUAAAUAGUGGUUAUUACGUUUUUUCGGGGAUACCUAAAAAUUUAGACAUACAAGAUUAUCAAAAACUUAGUUUUUAUUUUGAUAUAAAAUUGUGUAUAAUGAUAGUUAAAAAUAUUAAUUAUAAUAUUAAUGAAUUUAUGGCUGAAAACAUAGACAAGUUUGUCUUUGCGCCUAGUUUUUUGUACUUUCAAAGUUGUGGUAAUUUGUUGAUGGUAGGAGUUAACGAGGGGCUAGAGACGACUGAGUUGGUCCAUCCCUCUGACUUGGCUAGUCCAGAGUACUUGAUAAAUUUGAAUAUUGAAGAAGGUACUAGCAAUGUUGGCGAAAAAAAUGGCGAACAAAAUGGUGUACAAAAUGGUGUACAAAAUGGUGUACAAAAUGGUGUACAAAAUGGUGUACAAAAUGGUGUACAAAAUGGGGUACAAAAUGGGGUACAAAAUGGGGUACAAAAUGGGGUACAAGACGAAGCACAAGACGAAGCACAAGACGAAGUUACCAAAACAAAUGAUUUAAUUGAUGACGAAAAAAAAAAACGAAUACUAAAAAUAAUAACAGAAAAAAUCAAACCUAAAUUAAUUUAUUAUUACUUCUCAGACCAUUAUAACCUAAAAAAAUUUGUAAGAAAUGAAAAAAAUAAAAAAAGUGGUAUUGUUACAAGUACCACUACAACUACUAAUAAUAUUGAUACAUCCAAUAUCAAUAAUACUAAUGAUAGUCUGUUCAAAUAUUUGUUUUAUGAAGACGUGUUAAAAAAGUACAUGUUAUUAACCAAAAAACGAUCAGAAAAAUUUAUAGACAAUCUAAUAAAUCAAAUAAAAAACGAAAAAAAUAGUAAUAAAAUAAAAAAACAUAUAUACUUUACAUAUUUAAAAAAUGUAUUAAUACAUUCAAGUGAUUACCUAUUUACAAAUGUUGUUUUAGAUAAUAUAUUAAAUGAUUUUGAAGAUGGUGAGGAGGGGGAGAAGGUUAUGGUAAAAACUGGAGAUUAUAGUGAUACGAUAAAUAAACGUACUAAUGACAUCAAUCAAAAUUGUACACAUAUAUUUUCUAACUUACUCGAGUUUAAAAAAAUUAUUCAAUUUAUUUAUUAUACGAAAUCGGAAGGUUUAGAAUCACAAAAAAAUAAAAAUAUAUUAGAAGGUUGUGUUAUAAAUGAUAAUAAGAUUUUUCAUGUGGACAGGAUGAUGGUAGGGGGUAUUACACACGAAACAAAUCGUGAAUCGAUAAAAAAUGAAAACAUUAAUGGUUACGCAUUGUCAAAUUAUAAGAUAGACUCGACAAAAAAUUUAGGUGAUGUUGGUACAGAAAAUAAUAAAGAAGCACUAGGAGAAAGAGAAGUAGGAGGAAAUGUUAAGAACGAUAAAAGCAAUAAUAACAUAGGAAGUAGUCGUCAUGGGUCUGAUAGUCACACCGAAUCCGAUAAACAUACCGAAUCCGAUAAACAUACCGAAUCCGAUAGUCAUACCGAAUCCGAUAAACAUACCGAAUCCGAUAGUCAUACCGAAUCCGAUAGUCAUACCGAAUCCGAUAAACAUAGCACAUCUAGCAACAACAGUUCGAGUAAAAAAAGAAAGGGCAAUAAAAACAGAAAAGAAUAUCAAAACACGGAUAAGAAAGAAAAUAUGUUACUAAACAAUAAUGAAAGUGAUAAUAGUAGUAACGAAGAUUAUAUGUUAAAAUAUAAUGAAAAGGCAAAAAAGAUAAAAGAGUGUUUAUUCAAAACAUACGGAGAUAUGGAAUAUACUGCUAUAUAUAUGAAUAAAACAAUGCCAUAUAGCUGUGAAAAUUUAUAUUUCCCUAAGUUAGUAAUUUUAUUAGUACCAUAUAAUGAGCAUUUACAAUUUUAUAUAUCAUCGUUGCUAUGUUUAUACUUUAAAAAUUUUAUGUCAUAUAAUACUGUUAGCUUAAUGAAAGAAGAAAUAAUAAAAAAAAGAAUAAGUAAUAUGUAUUUUUAUAACAACAAUAACAACAACAACAACAAAAACAACAAAAAAAAAAAAAAAAAAAAAAAAUAUAUUUUGUUUUUCAAAUAAAAAUAGUAAUUAUAAUCAAAAUAAUACUAUCAUUAAUGAAAAAAAAUUGUUAAAGAAUGCUUUUCAAAGUUUUAUUACAAAAAUGAAAAAUGUUGAUAAGAAUAUAUUAUUGACUGGAUUUCCAAUUGUUAAAAACAGAUAUAAAAAUAGUAUUUAUUUUUAUCAAUUUAAUUUUUUAAGAACGUUUAAAAUAGAUGGUAUUAUUUGUCUACAAUUUGAUGAUCAAUACUUACAAACGUUUAAUAAUCUUACUAAUAACAUAAGUGAAAAAAAAUAUAAAGAAAUCACAGAUAUUAUAAAAAAACAGUACAGUUACACGCAUAAGUUGUAUUUUGGUNNNNNNNNNNNNNNNNNNNNNNNNNNNNNNNNNNNNNNNNNNNNNNNNNNNNNNNNNNNNNNNNNNNNNNNNNNNNNNNNNNNNNNNNNNNNNNNNNNNNAAAAAUUUUAUGUCAUAUAAUACAGUUAGCUUAAUGAAAGAAGAAAUAAUAAAAAAAAAAAUAAGUACUAUGUAUUUUUAUAA
rnacentral:lncRNA from 1 species